rnacentral:rRNA from 1 species
UACGGUUGCAAAGCUGAAACUUAAAGGAAUUGACGGAAGGGCACCACCAGGAGUGGAGCCUGUGGCUUAAUUUGACUCAACACGGGAAACCUCACCCGGUCCGGACACUGGAAGGAUUGACAGACUAAAGCUCUUUCUUGAUUCAGUGGGUGGUGGUGCAUGGCCGUUCUUAGUUGGUGGAGUGAUUUGUCUGGUUAAUUCCGAUAACGAACGAGACUCUCGCCUGCUAAAUAGUUUUCCAUACGUUACUUUAUGGAACCUAAAACUUCUUAGAGGUACAAGUGGCGUUUAGCCACACGAAACAGAGCAAUAACAGGUCUGUGAUGCCCUUAGAUGUCCGGGGCCGCACAUGUGCUACAAUGAAUGCAUCAACGUGUAUCAGCCUCGCCCGAAAGGGUUGGGGAAUCCGCUGAACGGCAUUCUCAGUAGGGAUUGGGGAUUGCAAUUAUUUCCCAUGAACACGGAAUUCCCAGUAGGCGCCAGUCAUCAGCUGGCGUCGAUUGAGUCCCUGCCCUUUGUACACACCGCCCGUCGCUACUACCGAUCGCUCUUGUUAAUGAGCUUGUCGGAUUGGACCCGGUGAGCAGUCGUUGCGCUYCAUCUCCUCGCGGGGUGGGCCUUCGUCUGCGAGCUUUUGGUGUAUGCCGAGAAGAUCGGCAAAUUAUCUGGAGUAGAGGAAGUNNNNNNNNNNAUACGUACUACUCUGUGCGGUGGAUCACUCGGCUCGUGUGUCGAUGAAGAGCGCAGCUAGCUGCGAGAAGUAAUGUGAAUUGCAGAACCACAUUGAAACAUCGACAUCUUGAACGCACAUGGCGGCCUCCGGGUUACUCCGGAGGCCACGUCUGUCUGAGAGUCGGAAUUGUAGUGCUUUAAAAAUCGGCGGUCACCACCAAAAUAUAUGUCGUAUACAAUAGACACGAUAGGUGGAUGUCCGCGAGGGUUGCUUCUCGGUAGAAAGAUACAUACAAAAAGUAAAAGAGAAGCCGCCGAGUGGCGAGUUGUUGAAAGUAGCCCAGCGAAACAACGGAACAAACCCUCGGAAUAAGAAAGAAAAAGACGUGCUGUACGAAAAAGUGCAACG